AAUAAGGAGAGCGAGACAAAAGACCAAAUCUUCAGUAAAAUCGAGUAGAUUGGAGAAUCCGUUUAUUUUCCCCACUUAAAGAAAGCCAGUGCCACUUUUAUAAACUUUGCCUCAACAAUUAUUUUUUCAAAGACUUUCAGAGGAACAUUGCCUGCUCAUUUCUCAGCUUCCAAAAAUUGUCCAAUUUAGCUUUUAGCAGUUAACUAUCCCCAUUUCCUGGGAAGCGAGUUCUGGUAGCGAGAACCACUAAUGGGUAAGUUAAUUGUUGUCUCUUUAAGAAGCACUCUCUCUUCAUCCCCUCAUUUUCUGUCUCUGUUGUGAUUUCAGUAUUUAAGUUCCAAAUUCAAACAUAAGAAUGAGAUCAACGUGUUACAUCACAAUUUAUCAAUGAAUGCCAUAUCAAAAGAUUAUGUUAAUGGGAAUAAACUGGUUAUUAGAGUUACCUAAUUGGUCAUACAUUAGUAAUAUUGUCUAGAGGAAACUCAUUUUAUUUGCCAAGAUCACCUUGCUACCAUAUACAAGUUUGAAAAAGACAUAUGAAAAAGUCAUGGCUCAGAAAGUUUAUGUGAACUGCAAACAAACAUUACAGUUUUAUGUUUGUUGGUGCACAAAUACAAAGAAACAAGAUUUUCUUCCUAACUGACCAUCAGAUUUCUCCACAUCAGAUUUCUCCAGUGGGUUUCAGCAGUUCCCAGCUAAUCCUAACUUCAUAAUUCCUUUUUUAAAAGUUUGCUAAUUGUUCAACUUCCUGAUUUGAUAGAAACUUCCCUCUUUAAUAGAAACAGAACUUGCCGGCCUUCAGUCGUUCUGAACUCUGCCUGAGUCAGGAUCUGGGUUUUUUUUGCAGAAACUACAAAAUGGAGAAACAUUUUUUCCUAUGAGAGCAUGCAGACAUUGAGAUGACAGGUCUGCACUGGCAUCCCGGUACUCCAUAAUUCGGGGACUGAAGACAGGGCUUCGCUGCAGCGCAGCCAUGGCUGACAAGCUGUUAUUUCUGCCCUGGGGAACACCAGAACCACCAAAGGCCUGGAGGAAAGGUCUCUCUCCCACCCAGCCCACGUGCUGCUUGUCUCACAUGUCUCUUGCCUGUGGCUUUAGAAGUGUCAUCCAUCGAGGAGUGUAUCUUCAGCAUGGUGAAAAAGCCCACACUUGAUACAGCAAACACUGGCAGAAGCUCUGGAGCCAAAGACGAAUCUGUGGCAUGACCGAAGAAUUUCUUCUCUGCAGUGGGAUGAGGCGUCAUGUGAAUUACCUCAGCUGGAGCUGUUCAAGGAUUUAGCUCCAGAGAAAGGUAGGCAGCUCGCUCUGCUGUGUGGGAAUGAUAGGCAGGCAAACAACAGAUCUGCCCAGUCCAGCUGGACUUGCUCAAAACAAAAUAGGUGAGACCCUGCCCAUCACUCAGAGGCUGAGCCUUAAGGCGAGUAAGUGAAUUACAGUGGAGGUAAAAGGGAAGGGA
rnacentral:lncRNA from 1 species